CCUACGGGAGGCAGCAGUGGGGAAUAUUGCACAAUGGGGGAAACCCUGAUGCAGCGACGCCGCGUGAGUGAAGAAGGAUUUCGGGAUGUAAAGCUCUAGCAGCAGGGAAGAAAAUGACGGUACCUGAGUAAGAAGCCGCGGCGAACUACGUGCCAGCAGCCGCGGUAAUACGGAGGGGGCAAGCGUUCUCCGGAUUUACUGGGGGUAAAGGGAGCGUAGACGGGAGCACCAGUAUGGAGUGAAAUGCCGGGGCUUAACCCCGGACCUGCUUGGGAAACUGUGCAGCUUGCGUGCAGGAGAGGUAAGUGGACUUCCUCUUGUAGCGGUUCAUUGCGUCGAUAUUAGGAGGAACACCAGUGGCGCAGGCGGCUUACUGGACUGUACCUGACGUUGUGGCUCG
rnacentral:rRNA from 1 species